GAAAGAAAAGAUAGAAAUUCCCAAGUCUAAAUCCUCUAUUUAAUUUCCCCCCUGUCCAAAAUUAUGACCAUUUCUAAAUUGUCCUUUAAAUCUAAGUUCAUCAUUUGUUAACUAGUGUCUGUAUGCUGAGAAAGACCAGGACUUAAUUGAAUUCCUUACUGACUGGAACUGUCUGAAAUGCUGAAUGCACCAAGGCAACUGGAAAUCAGCAGUUAUUCCUGGGAACGUCAGGUGAGACAGGGAGCUGGAACAACAGGUCAUUUCAGCAUCCUCGAGGAUGAAUCUUGUCAGAGUUGUAUCUUGGUGUUCUAUUCUGUAAUAUAUGAAUCUUACAAUCAAAUUUUUAGUUCUAUAAAUAUAUAUUUAUGGAUUGUACUUGUAGCACAGAUCAGUUAAAGGUGAAUAUUUUUCUUAUUUGAGCAUGUGAAAGACAACUGUCUUUUUUAUGAUCAAUAACCAAUUGUAAUAAUUCUUCAUUCAUACCAUGUGAAGAAUGGUAUGAUUAAUUUUAAGGAUUUAUUGGCUAAUUUUAACUGAAGUUUUGACUAAAGAUAUGGGCUGUUCCCAGUAGAGGGAUCAGAAAAUUAUAUUACCUGUCCUGUUGGUCUUUUUAAAUAUUUCUUUCUUGUUUUUUGCCAAGAGCUUUAGGGGGUAUUUCCCUAUCAUAUCUAAUCCAUAUCACUUUGGAAGGGCUCCAAAGUCUUUUCUCCUUUCCUGUUAACAAAAAUACAGAAGUUCUCUCCCAAAAUAGUAUGUUCUUGGUCUGGCAAUCCAAAAUUGAUUGGUUCAAAUUAUCAGCCUCUUCUAUUUUUCUAGGCUUGCUCUACUCUGACCUCUCUCCCAGAGGUUUUAAUAAUAUCACUAAUACCUCCAAACCUAUGAUCAUCUCCAUUUUGAUAAUUAAAACAACUCAAAACACUUAAAACAAUUUUAAACAAUAAUUGUUAUUUGUUGAAGUAGAGUUUCUCUCUGUCUUGUGCUCGUUUUUCAUAAAUUUGAAAUAAAAGGCCUUGGUUUCUUUAAUUUACCAUUAAUAAAAAAUUAUCACUAUUUCUCCCUUCUAUCCUUAAAACAACACACUUUUCCUUUAUUCCUCCAUUCUUAGGAAAUUAGUAUCUCUUUAAAACCAUAUAAAACAUUUAGUAUUUAAAAACGUUCGAAGCAAUUACUAUUAUUUCUCCUUUCUUACUUUUAUAUCUUUAAAACAAUGCCAUUUUCCUUCGUUCCUCCCUUCUGUGGCGAUUAAUAUCUGUCUAUUUUUAUCUGUUGAGUAAGGUUUCUCCUUGUGUCUGUCCCUUUGUUUCUACAUUUGAGAUCAAAGGCCUGAAUUAUUUUAUUUCCUUCUUUUCUUGUAAAUUAGUAUCUGUGGAUAUAUUUAUAUCUUUGUUUUUAUGUAACUUAGAUUUUUAUCCUUUCCUAUGUUUUAACUUCAAUUAAUUUGCCUUCUAAUUCUAGGCUGAUUUACAACUGAAUGCCAUGCUAAGCUAUCCCAGAAUCCCUAUGUUCCAAGAAUCCAGUUGUUUGCGAAGAAUUUUUAAAUUUCUAUAAAACUUUCCAUAAUUUUCCUUUAUUCCUCCCUUCUACCUUUUCCUGCUUUCUGGCCUGCCUUAUCUGAACAGCUCAAGCCUGUUCUCUGUUGCCUGCCUUCUCCCAGAAGGAGCUUGUAGAAUCUAUGGUUUAGUCUCUUGUAGCAGCCCGGAACCUGAACGGGAGUCUGGCUGAAUCAGUAACCCUCAGUCUUGCAUAAGCUUGGGUGUGCUUUAGCCUUAAGUCACGAACUCCAAAAUCACGCAUGGCAAACUAGGAAGAACGAUACUAGUUCUGACCUGCAUGGCUUGGGUAGGAACCACAUGGCUCAGCUCGGCUUGGCUGAGAAACCAAUUUUCUCUUCUAAAUUUUAAAAGGAAGGCAUGUGUACUCCAUUCGGGAAUUUCCAAUGAAUUUUUAAGAGUGAAUUCUUGCCCAACAUAGGACACCAUCUAAUUGUAUUAAUAUUGUAACAAAUUCUGUCAGUGGAUGGUUUCUGCACUACCCACCCUAAUGUUUUGGGUUCCC
rnacentral:lncRNA from 1 species